UUUUCUUUGUUUUUUUUUUUUUUUUUUUUGCUAUUUCAAUAAGCUACGCUCAAAAAGGCAAAAUACCAAGUAAGGAAUAUCCAAGUGAAUACUGUCUUCAAAUUUUUUAUUUAGGUCAUCAUAGAAUAGUUUGUGAGUAGUAGCAGAAUAGAAUAGUAGUGAGAGGCGAGUUUAUUAUUUUAGCAAAGAAAUUAUCAAAAUUGUAUACAAUUUUCAUCUUUCUUGGGAUCCUCUAUGAUUGCCUGAAGGUCCCCUGACCACAGAUUGAGAACCACUGUCUUAGUCAAUACCAGUCAUAGCACUUUUGUUCAUGUAGUGCAAUUAAAAUCUUAAACAACAAACUCAUCUAAAUGCUAUCACAUUCAAGCAUCUAACUUGGCCACUGGUUUUGUAAUCUACUUUAAUCAAGGAAAUGUUUAAAGAUAUGCUCAAGUUAAAAAGUAUAUUUCAUUGCAAGUUCUUAGAUAUAUUUGAUAAAACAGGUAAUAAAUGUUAAGUCUCUUUUCUAGGAAAAGAUAGAAGCAAGGGUAGGCUACAUUUUUUUUUCCUUCGUACAUGUAAUGGCUGCUAUUAGUUUUGUGUUAGUUUUAGGUGGUAUGAACAUUGAUUAGAAGACCUUAUCAGUUAUUAUGGAGCUGUCUAAAUGGAUAUUGAUUCCUAUUUCAUCAAUCAGUCAUACCAAAGUCAUACCAAAAUAUUUGUGAUUGAUCAUUGUACAAAGCUUUGAAUGAUUUAGAGGUAAUCAGAAGAAUGUUAUUUCUUUUUUGUGAUCCAUAUUGAAAUGUUAUAUUUGCAACCAUUAGGAAAAUAUAUAUAUAUAUAUAUAAUGUUUAAAUUCUUCAAGAAUAGGCUUAUUUUAAAAUGGUCAGAUUUCUUAACAAUAUGCAUUUUUUGUUUGUAAAUAUAAGGCAAAGAAUAAAAGAAUUUUUAAUCUACUUUAAACUUGUCAUCUC